rnacentral:lncRNA from 1 species
UUAAAAGUAAAUUUUGUAAUCAUAUCUUUCAUGUUAUGUUAAGAGACAUUUUUAUAGACUUUUUCUUGCAAGUGAUAAAAGAGGCAGAAACGGGACAGUUUUUGGGUCAACUUCAAAACGCUAUUUCCAACUCUAUAAACAUCCAUUUGAGACUCUAAAAAUAUUGAUGCGUUCCUUCUUGAGUUGCCUUAGUAUGAACAUAGGAAUCACUCAAUUUGGAUAUCCGUGGCCUAAGAUAUAAAUUUUGAAGCGUCGAAGGGUCAAUAUGAAUUUUCUGUGCAACACCUCACUGUUUUCAGUAAAACGCCCAUAUCAUAUGAUCUUGGAAAUUUUCCAUAUUUUAACCUAGAAAACUACUUGAAAAUAUCUUUCUAAUGCCGCAAAAUUCAUGAAAAACGGAGUUGGGAUGAAUUUUAUAAAAAUAGUUGAACUGGCUGCCCCAAUUAGCCAUGGCAGCACCGAGUCCAUAUACCUAAAGUAUAAUUUCAUGUCGACAUGUACUUUUGCUGGCCAUUAAAUUUUAUCAGAGAUCUUUUACUAACUUGAAAAUAAGUUUUUACAUGUAAUACUUUUAUUUAAGAGUCCUUACAUGUAGCAAAGGCAGAAGUUAUUAUGUUUAGUGCGUGACACUCGAAGUUUAAGUUCGGGGCGUCACACUUUAUGGUUGAGCAGUUACAGGUAUCUCAUUUGCUCUUCGCAGACGACACACUGAUUUUCUGUGAUGUAGAGGUAGAGCAAAUCAGGAAUUUGCGACGUUUGCUCUUGUGCUUUGAAGCUGUAUCUGGAUUGAAAAUAAAUCUGGGGAAAUCUGAAACUAUUGCAGGGGGAGAGGUGGAUAAUAACAUGGUGGAGUUGGCUGCUAUACUAGGAUGCAGGGUUGCGCGAUUGCUUAUGACAUAUCUUGGGCGACCUUUAGGUUUCGGUUUAAAAGCACACAUAUUUGGAAUAGUAUUAUUGAAAGGGUGGAGAGAAGACUUGCGGGGUGGAAGCGGAUGUAUCUCUCAAAGGGAGGUCGUCUUACUCUCAUAAAGUCCACACUGUCGAACCUCCCUACCUACUUUAUGUUGUCGUUUCCUAUUCCUAUUGCAAUGGCAAAAAGAUUGGAGAAGAUCCAAAGGGAUUUUCUUUGGGGAGGAUUAGGGCAGGAGAGGAAAUUACAUUUGGUUAAUUGGGGUAUCAUAUGUUCUCCGAUGAGGUUGGGUGGUCUCGGAUUGAGGAGUCUCAUACUAUUUAAUAAAGCUUUGUUGGGUAAGUGGUUGUGGCGAUUUGGAAAAAAGAGUGGUAGUUUUUGGAGAGAAAUUAUAGGAGCAAAAUAUGGUGUUAUGGAGGGGGAAUGGUGUUUAGUCGAGAGUCGAGGCUCUUAUGGGGUGAGUCUGUCGCUGUAUAUCCGGCGAGGGUGGAGUGAUUUUCGAGAUAAAUUGACGUUUGUAGUGGGAAAUGGUAAUACUAUGAGUUUUUGGGAUGAUUGUUGGUGCGGAGAUCAACCACUAAGAUUGAAAUUUCCUUCCUUGUAUCGUAUUGCAUUGUUGCCAUCUGCCAUGGUGAAUGAUGUCUUAGAUAUUCAUAAUGGGAGUAUCAGCUGGAACAUUGCUUUUGCACGGGGUUUGCAGGAUUGGGAGUUAGACGACUAUGCGCUGUUUUUGACAUCUUUAUAUGAGGUACAAAUCAGGGCAAGAGAAGGUGAUUGCAGCAGGUGGAGGUUGGCACGGGAUGAUAUGUUUUCAGUCGGCACCUUCUUUAAAUCUUUAUUGGGAGCUGAGAAUAGCUCUUUCCCUUGGAAGACAGUGUGGAAGAGUAAAUUGUCACCACGAGUCGCAUUUUUACCAUGGACAGUGGUUAGAGAACAGGUGCUAACGGCGGAAAACCUACGGACAAGGGGUUUUUGUAUUACAGAGUGGUGCUUUAUGUGUCGAAGGGAUGGGGAGACGAUCGGUCACUUGUUUCUCCGUUGUGAUGUUGCUAGUUUACUGUGGAAUGAGAUUUUUGCAUCGCAACACAUAGAUUGGGCGAUGCCAAGGCAUAUGGAAGACGUGUUAAAGGCGUGGAGGAGAAAAUUUCGCGACAAGAAUAG